rnacentral:rRNA from 1 species
UACGGGGGGGGCAAGCGUUGUUCGGAAUUACUGGGCGUAAAGGCUCGUAGGCGGCCAACUAAGUCAUACGUGAAAUCCCUCGGCUUAACCGGGGAACUGCGUCUGAUACUGGAUGGCUUGAGUUCGGGAGAGGGAUGCGGAAUUCCAGGUGUAGCGGUGAAAUGCGUAGAUAUCUGGAGGAACACCGGUGGCGAAGGCGGCAUCCUGGACCGAGUACUGACGCUGAGGAGCGAAAGCCAGGGGAGCAAACGGG